rnacentral:misc_RNA from 1 species
UAAGGAAAAAAUGUGUGAAGGAUGCUAGGGGUGUCGUGACUCAAAGUCGUGCACGCCGGAGUGUCCUCUCACAUAAUAAUCCAUCUCACCCUUUGUGCACCACCGCGUGGCCCCUUUGGGAUCAGACCGAUCUCGGAGGAUGCUCGCGUUUUCACACAAACCCCCCUUAUAAAAGUGUAGAAUGACCUCAUUUAUGCGCUAACCCGCAAUCAAUACAACUUUCAACAACGGAUCUCUUGGCUCUCGCAUCGAUGAAGAACGCAGCGAAAUGCGAUACGUAAUGUGAAUUGCAGAAUUCAGUGAAUCAUCGAAUCUUUGAACGCACCUUGCGCCCCUUGGAUUCCGAGGGGCACACCCGUUUGAGUGUCGUGAAAAUCUCAACCUCCUUGGUUCUUCUGGAGACCAAAGGAGGCUUGGACUUUGGAGGCAUUUGCUGGAUCUUCUCUCUUUUGAAGGCCAGCUCCUCUUAACGAAUUAGUGGGGUCCUCUUUGCCGAUCCUUGACAUGUGAUAAGAUGUUCCAUGCCUUGUUUCUGGCUCUGUUGCUUUUGGGACCCGCUUCUAACCGUCUUGACCUUGCAUCGAGACAAUGUUCGAGCUUGUCUCCCUUCUCGGGAGACACUCUCGACCCCACGAACCCUUGACCUCAAUCGGUAAAAAACCGAUACGGCGACGGAAAAUCUUCUGAACGGAGUUCAUAGGGGAGCCUUACCCUCUUGCCCCUUCAAAAAUGUACCGCCCGCGAAACCCCUCAAAAAAAUGGGGGGGGGGGCGAAAUUAAUUUUUUUUCCCCUCCGCACAAAAGGAACUUAAAAUUUUCUCCCCUCUUUUUUUUUUAGGGGGCGCCCCCACCUAAAAAGAGGUACAGUGUAACUUAUCGGCCCAUUGGCAGGAGAAAAUUUUUUUUCUUUUUUUGGAAGCGGGCGUAGGGGGGGGGGGGGGGGUCGGACUCUCACGACGGGAAGGGGGAGA